rnacentral:piRNA from 1 species
UGGAAGAGGCUGCUGAUGUUAGGAUGG